rnacentral:ncRNA from 2 species
AUCUUAUCAAGAGUAGGUGGAGGGACAAGCCCGAUGAAGCCCGGCAACCGGCAAUGCACACGUAUAUUACGUGUGACGCACGGUGCUAAUUCUUGCAGGACGAUGGAAGUCGUUACUGACAGAUGAGAG